rnacentral:rRNA from 1 species
UACAGAGGGGGCUAGCGUUAUUCGGAAUUAUUGGGCGUAAAGGGCGCGUAGGCGGCCACGCGUGUCUUUCGUGAAAUCCCUCGGCUUAACUGAGGACGUGCGGAAGAAACUGCGAGGCUCGAGUCCGGGAGAGGGGGGUGGAAUUCCCAGUGUAGCGGUGAAAUGCGUAGAUAUUGGGAGGAAUACCAGUGGCGAAGGCGGCUCCCUGGACCGGUACUGACGCUGAGGCGCGAAAGCGUGGGUAGCAAACAGG